rnacentral:rRNA from 1 species
CCUACGGGGGGCAGCAGUGGGGAAUAUUGCACAAUGGGGGAAACCCUGAUGCAGCGACGCCGCGUGAGUGAAGAAGUAAUUCGUUAUGUAAAGCUCUAUCAGCAGGGAAGAAAAUGACGGUACCUGAGUAAGAAGCCCCGGCUAACUACGUGCCAGCAGCCGCGGUAAUAAGUAGGGGGCAAGCGUUAUCCGGAUUUACUGGGGGUAAAGGGAGCGUAGACGGCAGUGCAAGUCUGGAGUGAAAGGCGGGGGCUCAACCCCCGUACUGCUCUGGAAACUGUACGGCUGGAGUGCAGGAGAGGUAAGUGGAAUUCCUAGUGUAGCGGUGAAAUGCGUAGAUAUUAGGAGGAACACCAGUGGCGAAGGCGGCUUACUGGACUGUAACUGACGUUGAGGCUCGAAAGCGUGGGGAGCAAACAGGAUUAGAUACCCCAGUAGUC